rnacentral:rRNA from 1 species
UACGUAGGUGGCAAGCGUUGUCCGGAUUUACUGGGCGUAAAGAGCGCGCAGGCGGUCGUUCAAAGUCGCGUGUGAAAGCCCCCGGCUCAACUGGGGAGGGUCACGCGAUACUGAUCGACUCGAAGGCAGGAGAGGGAAGUGGAAUUCCCGGUGUAGCGGUGAAAUGCGCAGAUAUCAGGAGGAACACCGGUGGCGAAGGCGGGUCUCUGGGCCGAUGACUGACGCUGAGGAGCGAAAGCGUGGGGAGCGAACGGG